rnacentral:lncRNA from 1 species
AAUUUGUCAACGAGUUUUUGGCGCCGUUGCCGGGGACUCGAGGUUUAUUUUUCAAGUAGUGUGGAUUAAUUGAGUUUGACUUGAUUUGAUGUUUAUUUUUAUGCUUGUUAANAAAUGCUUUCUAGAGUUGUGUGCCUAACAUUUGCAGAAUACAGUUUAAACAAAAAUUUGAUUAUAUGGGCACUCAAUUCCACCAAAAUGAUUUCAACCACUGGUGGNAACCUCAUUCAAACAUACAUUAAAGCCAAUUGGGGCAACAUUCCUCUUCGCGAAAAGAAACAUUGGGGGAAGCUAAAGAACGUUUACGACAGGAACUAUUCAAGAGCCUGUCUCAACAUUUUAUUAUCAUGCAACAUCUCAACUUUAAUCAAACUCUAAAAUUUUCAGAAAGCAUACUUGUCGCACAAAAACAGAGCACAGUUGAAUCAAAGUAGUCUAAUUCAUUCAAGCAGAGCACAUAAAAAUUAAAAUAAAAUAAAACGAAACACACAUUCAAACUAAAAAUAAAAAUUAAAAAUUAAAAGUAAAGUGAUGAAUCAAUAUUUUCUCAACUUUACUUAGUUUAUUAUGCAAGGAUUAAUCAGGGAAUUGUGGUUAAUUGUCCGGUAUUUUCCCGUUUUUCCUAAUUAUGCUUAAUUUGACCGGAAAUUCUAAUUUUAAUUAAUUUGAAUUUUCUGAGCUAAUUAUUUGCAUUAUUAUUUUCAGGGAAAAUUUUGGAAACACAAUUUGGAACAUUUAGAGGACACUAAAUAAAUUCAAGACUCUCAAAUUAGACAUUUUAAAUUUUAGUUACAUUGUAAUUUAAUUGUUUAAACUUUUUUUGGACAAACUUGUGCACAAUGGGCCAUUGUUGGUAAAAAUAUGAGGGCCCAAAAUUGUAAGACACUUGUCAUCCUAGGGUUUACUUUUAGGGUGGACCCCACCUCAUUUUAGGACACAUGGCCUCUUAGGAAUUGGAACAGCCGUCACAUUGAGGAGGGACUCACACUCUGGGAAUUUUCUUUUACUUUGUUGGAACGUUCUUUCCCGAGGGAGUUUUCUAAUGGCAUUGUUUGAUUAUGGAUGAAUGGAGAGAGCUCCACGUUGAUAGCAUACUUUGUGUUUUAUUGGUAGACGCUGUUACAAGAAAGAGGGCUCUCUUUUUCUCGAUAAUUUGGUAUUGAGCCGUCAUACACUUUGCAACGGGAAUCCAGAGGCUGCGACGUUUUUUUUUUGUGAAAAAUGCUGAUGGUGCUCACGGUUUUUAGCAUUCUUGGAGGAAUGAAUAGAAUAUAUUUUUUCUCUUUUUCUUCUUGCAAUGCUGUUACUUGGGUUGAAUGAUAGAACAACAUUUUUUCUUUUUUUUUUUAUGUGCACACGGUGUUAAAAUUGAAUUCAAGGCUCACUUUCUUUCUUGGUAGUUUAAAAAGCUGAUUGUAGAUGGUNUCUUAUUUGAUUCAUGCCUUCAAUGCUCAUACACGGUCACAUCAACUUAUACAUUUGGAGAAGCACUUUCUUUUAUUUAAUAUAGCAUUGUGGUGGCUGAAAUUGUUUGCUAUGCUGCAGCAAAAUCACAUGAUUGAAGAAGUGAUCUCAUGGAAAGCAAUGUGUUGUCACAUCCAUAGCAUUAAAGUUGAACGGCUGGAAGAUG